AUGGGGGAGCGGCGCAGUGACGACCGACGCCAGGAGCCCACGGUGGCCAGGGCGGACGGCCCCCCGAUUCCCGCCGACGAGUCCGACGACGAGUUCGAGUUCUCCUUCGGGAGCCGGGAGCCUGCCACGGGCGGCGCCGCGGCCGACGAGCUCUUCGCCGACGGCCGCAUCAGGCCGUUCUACCCGGUGUUCGGCCGGGUCUUCGACGACGCGCACGUGCCGUCGGCGCCCGGCCGGAGGCCGCUGGGCCGGCUGUUCCUCGAGGAGGCGCGGAACUCGUCCGUCGGGUCCACGUCCUCGUCCUCCUCCUCCGCCGCCACGGACGCCGGGGACCUCGACGGCGCGUCCCCGGACAGCUACUGCGUCUGGACGCCCGGCGCCUCGGCCGCGUCCUCGCCGGCGCGGUCGCCGCGGAAGAGCGGAUCCACGGGGUCCUUGUCGCGGUGGCGCCGCGUCAGCGACCUCGUCGUCGGCCGCAGCCACAGCGACGGCAGGGACAAGUUCCGAUUCCUUUCCGCGCCGCCCUCGCCCGCCAGGGAGCAGCCCAAGGGGAAGCCACGAGGCCGGGACAGCAAAGCCGCCACCGAGCUCGACACGGUGGCCGCCAGCCACCGGCAGUUCUACGGCACUAAGGCCUCCCCCGGCGCGGCGCGGCGGACGUUCUUGCCGUACCGGCAGGAUCUCGUCGGCCUCUUCUCCGCGCCCAAGGGGCUCAGCCGGAGCCAAUACUUCUGA
rnacentral:rRNA from 1 species